rnacentral:sRNA from 12 species
GGAGCUGGUCGAAAGACCCGGGUCCAUCCGUCGGCGGGUAAGACACCC